UACGUAGGUGGCGAGCGUUAUCCGGAUUUACUGGGUGUAAAGGGCGUGUAGGCGGCUCUGCAAGUCAGAUGUGAAAUUUCCGGGCUUAACCCGGACGGGUCAUCUGAAACUGCAGGACUUGAGUACUGGAGAGGAUAGCGGAAUUCCUAGUGUAGCGGUGAAAUGCGUAGAUAUUAGGAGGAACACCAGUGGCGAAGGCGACUUACUGGACUGUAACUGACGCUGAGUCACGAAAGCGUAGGUAGCAAACAGGAUUAGAUACCCUGGUAGU
rnacentral:rRNA from 1 species